GAGAGUAUUUUGCUGGAGAUCCCUGCGUACCUGAGGCCUUCUGAAGCAGCGGGGUGUUGUCAGCUCUUCCUGAGAAGUUUUGGAGGAUGAUGGAAGAGUGACUCAUCCUUUCUGUUCUGCACGAGGAAGCCUGGGAAAGCACUGUGCUUCUGGGAAAAAAAAGGAUGGAAGAGGAGAGGAUAUUUCAGUGCCUUCCUUUGCAAGCAAUGCCAGGGGAAGGCAUCCUGAUGUGCAGCAGUGCAAGGUAGCAGGGCUCUGGGAUCCCUGGGGUGUAAACCUCAGUCGCAGUGUAAGCAUGUAUCUCCAGCAGAGUGGAAAGAAAUGCACAUCUCCUAUUUCCCCAAGGAGCUUUCAGGAUUUCCGAGAGAUCUCCCACCCUGCACCCAAGAGAAAAUCACUUCUGUUUCACAGUGGAGAUUGAAUUCAGCCCGAAAAGCAUGAGCCCAACAUUGCCUCCUUCCCCAGAUGUCAAGAUGGCUGCUUGGCGGCUCACUCCCAUUCUGUCCCUUGGAAAAUGAUCAAGAUAGGAUAUUUGGACACAGAUUCUUCCAGACACGUUGUGCCUCUUAGCAAACCACAUUUUGCAGUGAAGAUCUGUUAAUUAUAUGCUUACUUUUAAUAAAUCCAUUCAAGUGCUGCUAUAGGAUUCCUGGCAGAUGUGGGAUCCAUCCCAUCUCCAUGGAGCCACCAUACCCCGCAGAUGAGAGAGCUGGGACCACAGGCUGGGGAACACUGAGCAUCCUGGCACUCUUGCAUGAGUGUGUUUGGAAAGUGUUUUCAGUUCCUCAGAGCACCUUGUAAUUGAAUCAGAUAAACACACGGAAGGCACUGUGAUUUUUCAGGUGCUGCUGAGCGCCAGCUGUAUGAUUACAGCAAAUCUUUCAGGUCCUCUGAGCUUGCUGACAGUGACUUAUUUUGGUAUUUGUACGAGCUGCUGUUUGUGAUGGAGGAGUUCACAGGGCAAUAAACAGGAUAAAAAGCCA